rnacentral:rRNA from 1 species
GACGAACGCUGGCGGCGUGCUUAACACAUGCAAGUCGAACGGUAAGGCCCUUCGGGGUACACGAGUGGCGAACGGGUGAGUAACACGUGGGUGAUCUGCCCUGCACUUCGGGAUAAGCCUGGGAAACUGGGUCUAAUACCGGAUAGGACUCCGGACUGCAUGGUCUGGGGUGGAAAGCUUUUGCGGUGUGGGAUGGGCCCGCGGCCUAUCAGCUUGUUGGUGGGGUGAUGGCCUACCAAGGCGACGACGGGUAGCCGGCCUGAGAGGGUGACCGGCCACACUGAGACUGAGAUACGGCCCAGACUCCUACGGGAGGCAGCAGUGGGGAAUAUUGCACAAUGGGCGCAAGCCUUAUGCAGCGACGCCGCGUGAGGGAUGACGGCCUUCGGGUUGUAAACCUCUUUCAGCAUCGACGAAGCGAAAGUGACGGUAGGUGCAGAAGAAGGACCGGCCAACUACGUGCCAGCCGCCGCAGUAA